rnacentral:RNase_P_RNA from 1 species
GGAGUGAUCCGGGUGGUCGCGCCGGCGAAAACCGCCGUCGAGGAAAGUCCGGGCUGCACAGGGCAAGGUGCCGGAUAACGUCCGGCGGGGGUGACCCCGGGAAAGUGCCACAGAAAGCAGACCGCCGUCCCCGUGGACGGUAAGGGUGAAAGGGUGCGGUAAGAGCGCACCGCUCUUCCUGGUAACAGGAGGAGGCACGGUAAACCCCACCUGCAGCAAGGCCAAAUAGGGAAGCAUAUGCGUGGCCCGCGCAGCUUCCGGGUAGGCCGCUUGAGCUUGUCAGCAAUGGCAAGCCUAGAUGAAUGACCGCCUCCCUGAUCACAGGGAACAGAACCCGGCUUACAGGAUCACUCCACCU